GUUAUUAGAGAGAGUACACACACACACAGAUAUAUAUAUAUAUAAAUAUAUAUAUAUAUAUGCACACAGCAGACUAUGCAUACAUCCUUGGAAGCCAUGCUCAAGAAUGAAAAUAACAUAUAAAAUCCUCAAGUCUUCAUAUACCAUAAGUUAUGACUUCUGAUUAUUUAAAACUGUGAGAAGAUAACUGGAUAAAGGCAUAAAAUGUGCAAGCCAGGAUGGUCAGCUGUAUGAGCAAAAUCAGUCAGAUGGAACAGAAACCUGGAGUUUAAAAUGUGACCCAUGGUCCACACCUAAUCAAAAAAUAAAAUACAAAAAAAAUUGCCUUUGAUAAUGCUCUGUUUUACAGAGAAGUAUGUGCCAAGGACUUAUUCAGACCCAGUGAAGUUGUUGAAAAGACUCACUGCUGUUAACAGACUUUGAACCAGGCCAAAAGACUUUCUAGAAUAUUUCACGAGUAACGAAGCUAAAAAUGAGUAGCUGGAAAAGCUAAGGGCGACAGGGACACUUUAAAAUGUGGUGGUAGAAAACCAAACAUGCAAGCGAGCAAACCGAGAAAGACAGUGACCAUCUGCCACACGGAGCAGGGACGCAGACGUCGAUCCACUUCUUGUACCAAAGCAGGCCGGGAAGAUCUCGGGGCAGGAUCCUGCGGGCGGGAGGAAGGCUGCCCUUCACUUCCUCUGUCACCUCUCAGUGUGUCCUUCUUGCUUCAGCCUGGCAAUAGAACUUCAACCUGGAAGUCCUCAUGUGCAAACUUGAAAACAGUUCCUUCCUCUAAAAAAAAAAAAAAAAAAAGAAGAAACCAUAAAAAUUAAGGACACCGUAAAAGGUCACCAUAAAAAAUAAGUAUAAAAAGUAGAAAGAAUUAGGAAAAAUAAAGGAAUGGAUACUUUUCUUUGUCACCACGUUCAGUACCUUCCUGCACAGAUAAUGAAAAAUGGGUGCCUGCCACAGACAGGUCACAGCCUGGCUUUCUGAAGAGACAAAACAGAUGACGGAAGGAGACAAAACAGAUGAUGAAAAGAGACAAAUUGUGGAAAAUCAUUGUCUCUGCCAGCUAGUUUAAAGAAGAACAAGUUUGAUGCAGGAGUUUACACUCUGGAGGAUCUAUCUAUCCCAUCAGUAACUGUCUGUGAUUCAUGGGUGAGACUGCCAGAAGUGUCAUCCACAGACUCAGCACACUGUAAUGCAUGGGAACGAUGAAAGACCUAUGAACACCAGAUCUUCCUGUCCUUCAAAUGACCAUGGUGUCAGCAAGGAACCAGGUACAGAAGAAGUUUCUGCAGAUGUGCUCACAGUCUGAGAUAUUCCACAGGACCUUUUGAUUGAGUAGACUGCUUCUGAGAAUAGCUUUUACUCAUAAUGUAGAAAGCAUCGGAAAGAGGUACUAAGACAAUGAUCUCUUAAUUAUUUAUUCAAAGCCUAACAGUGUAGAAGAAACAUGCUUCUCACUCUGUGUUUCAACCAAUCCAAAGCAUGCAAGGCUAUACCUGUCUGGUAAUUGUAAAAUUUUCACACAGAGUAAUACAACAUUUUAUUGAAUUUGUCUGAAACUGUGUCUUAAAUUCCCACUAACUUUGAACAGGAAAAUAAAGGGUUCCUUGGAAGAAAAGUUUUCAAUAAUGAGGAAUUCAAACAACAGAUUUACUGAAGGUUCUGUGGUAUGAAUAUGUAUAUAUGUAUGUAUGUAUGUAUGUAUAAGGAUUUUGUGUUUCCUCUGCAUUAGUCUUUUCUUGUAGCAAGCUAUGAAAGUGAGAAAUAGUAGAAGGGAAAUUAACAUGUUCGCUUCCUUCUCCAAAUGGAGAAAUUCUUCAUGCAUUUUGUGAGAUGAGACAAGUGCACAAACAGCUGUGGACCAGUCAGCACUGCACCCAUUCAACAGAGAACUCCAGACACAGGCAGUCUGGAAAGCAGAUCUUAGCAGUGCACAGCAGCAGCACAUGGGCAACAGGCACAAGUCAUAAUGAGGAAAACUGAAAUGAGAUACCAGGAAGCAGUGGCCUUUUGAAUUAAUUUCCUUCCUAAAAUGUUCUAUGACUUUUUAUGAGUCUACAGAGACUCAAGUUGCUGGAAAGGGAAAGCCGUGCCCCCACACUUACA